GAUCCUCGUGCCUACGUAUGCCCACUUGUUGAAGUGGGAAAUCAGAGCUUCUGUAGUUCGUGGGUUUAAAAUGUUUAUUUGGUUGGUUGAUUUUAUUACCUUGAAGAAGGGUUUUCGAUGGUGUCGCCCUAAGGCUUAAACAAAAGGUUUGAAUGUAUUGAAUUGUUUUUAGGUUUUGAGAAAGUGUUAUUAAUUUCGGAUUGCACUAAAGACUAUGGAUAAAGGAGAAUACCUCGAACUACCAAGCCAAACGUCUUGUGUUCGAAGGAUUCAGAAUGAGUGUAGGAAAGCUCCAGUAUCAUCCCUUCUUUAUCGCUUAAGGCUCGUGACGUACGAUCCUAAUCACCAUUUAUUGUGUUUUUGAAUUUGAUUUAGAAAAAAGACUUCUUGACGUUGGAUCAAGGGUUUGUUUAUUGAAUUUGAUUUAGAAAAGACCGCUUCACGUUGGAUAAAGGGUUUGAUUAUUGGUGAUAAAAGGGUAAACGCUCCUAAUGCCUAAGGAGUAGCUAAUCAGGCAAUAAAAGAAAGCAAGUAAAUGCGUACAUUGGAAAGGGGAGGGGGUACAUAAAGUACAAUGGAGUGUAGGAAAUAAAAGGUCUCAUUGUUAGGUAGCCCAAGAGAAAGCCUUGUGUGUGCGAUUGUGUCCUAAACUAACAAUUGGAUAAUGAAAUUAUAAAUCAUGUCUCCCUCGGGUAGUGCCAUGAAUGCAUUCAAUUUUUGCAAUAAAAGAUCACAAGUCCUCGGAAACUCUAAGUUGCAUAGGUCAAUCACACAAGUCCAAGUCCAAAUGAGAAGUCUCUAAGUCCUUUGUCCAAAGUCCUUUCCAUGCUAAGGGAAUUAUCUUAUUUUUGUAUUUUUUAAGUCUUAACCAUUUUUAGUCAUUUUUAAGAUGAAGUGAGAAUGUACAAAUAUGAUGUAAUAUAGUAUGUACAAAGCAAAGUAAAGCAACAUAAGGUAAAUGACAAAAAUUAAAGGUUACGAGUUAGAUGCGAAAUUAUAAAGUGUUAGAUGUUAGGUACGGAAUUUAAAAGUUAGAUGCGAAAUAGUAAAUGUUAAAUGUUAGAAGAGAACUAAAUCCAAAACAAAUAACAAAAUAUUAAUUCUAAGUCAUUAAUAAAAUUAAAUCUACCUAAUUAAUCAACCAAUGAAAAUCUAACAAAUCACAUAAAUUCUAGUUAUUAACAAAAAUUAAAUUCUAAACAGUUAACCCUAAAAUUAUCUAACAAUUAUUCUAAAACAAAUAUAAAAAAUUAUCACAAUUAUCCUAACUAUACCUCAUUAUUUCUAAUAUUCAUCUAAUCCUAAUAUUAUCCAAAGGAGACAUGAUUAAUAUCCUAAUUCACACAAUUAACCUAGCUAAUCUAAAUUAAAUCCUAAAUAACCAAAAAUUAAGUUUUAAUCAUCCAACAUGGGCCUAAUCUAAUCCUAAGCCCAAGCACGGGGCAGGGGGGUGCAUCAGGCCAUGGGAGUAUGCAAGGAAACAAUUCGCUUGGGCUUAAGUGUAUAAGCCCAACAUCGAAGGAUUAAGACGGGACAUCUCUUCCUCUAUCAACUCGCAAAACAAGGAAUAGAAAGAAAAGGGAACACGACGAAUUUCACCAAUCCUAACCGCGUCGGAUCCUCCUCACGUGUCGACACCGUCUCCGCUCCAUGAGAAGUUCGAGGACACUCUGCACAAUGCUUCAUGUACCGCCGCUUUCGGGGAACGAUGAAAGACUCACUUGUGUGUCCAUUUUAUGAUGGCUUGCAACUUGAAGUGUGGAAGAUGCGCCGGAGUUGUCGCGAUUCCGAUUUGGUUUAUUUCGCCGGUGAAUUAUGUACUAGAAGACGGCAUCGAAGAAUCUGGGAGGAUAUCGCCGGAAGCUUGCAAUCGAAGGCGGCGAACAAGUCGGUUAUCCGAAUUUAUUGAAGGUGGAAUCAGAGGGAGCGAAGAUGAUUGCGAAUUGUCGAAUUUCUUCAAAGGAGAGGGAUGAAGCCGAUUGAUGAGUGUAUUGCUGAAGGUGUUGGUGGUGACGAGUAGAAGAGCAAAAAGCAACGGAUGAAGGUCGUUGAAUCGUGAAAAGCUGAAGGCCACUGUUGUGAGAUUUCUGCGUUGAAUGCUGGAAAUGUGAGUUGCAGGUUCUCUAAUUUUUUUGGAGUUGGGAAGAGCCGUGAAGGAAGGUUAUAGAGGUUAAAGGUUUUGGUAUGUGGAAGGAUUGAAGAAGGUGAAGGAAGUGUAGAAGGAUUGAAUAAUGUGAAAUUUGUGAGAGAGGUUGAGAGUGAGGUUUGAAAGUUAUGAGAGGGAAUCGA